GUUUCUUUGGCAGUGUCUUAGCUGGUUGUUGUGAGUAAUAGUGCGGGAAGCAAUCAGCAAGUAUACUGCCUUAGAACU
rfam:Equus caballus chromosome 2, whole genome shotgun sequence.